GAUGAACGCUGGCGGCGUGCCUAAUACAUGCAAGUCGAGCGAACAGACGAGAGUGCUUGCACUCUCUGACGUUAGCGGCGGACGGGUGAGUAACACGUGGGUAACCUACCUAUAAGACUGGGAUAACUUCGGGAAACCGGAGCUAAUACCGGAUAAUAUUUAGCUUCGCAUGACGCAAUAGUGAAAGACGGUUCUGCUGUCACUUAUAGAUGGACCCGCGGUGUAUUAGCUAGUUGGUGAGGUAACGGCUCACCAAGGCAACGAUACAUAGCCGACCUGAGAGGGUGAUCGGCCACACUGGGACUGAGACACGGCCCAGACUCCUACGGGAGGCAGCAGUAGGGAAUCUUCCGCAAUGGACGAAAGUCUGACGGAGCAAUGCCGCGUGAGCGAAGAAGGUUUUCGGAUCGUAAAACUCUGUUGUAAGGGAAGAACAAGUACGUUAGUAACUGAACGUACCUUGACGGUACCUUACCAGAAAGCCACGGCUAACUACGUG
rnacentral:rRNA from 1 species